AGGCUGGGCUGUGAGCUAGCGGGCGUGGAGAGUGAAGCCCCGCCUGGCCCCCCUUCCACACUGGAAGCCUCUCUGUGGCUGAUGGGAGGACCAGGGCUGAUGAAAGGAUGGAGCCAUGAAGGGCAGCCCUCCUGCUGCGGGUCGCCCUGCUGCUGCCCUGGGCCUGCAGCUCCUGGCACGUGGGUCUCUGGGACUCCUUGUGGAUGUGCCUCUCCAGGGCCCUCCAUCCUCGGUGGGCAGGAGACUCCCCUAGGGAGCUUGCUCUCAAGUUCUCAAUAGCAUACACACGGCUGCCACAAAUACACAGAAGUUUUGGGAAUUAGCUCUGUGAGACAGGCCUAUUUCAGAUAAGAAAAAUGAGGAUCAGAGAAGCUGAAAGUCUUGCGGAGGACACCCCAGCAAGGCGAAUUACAGGCCCAGAAUUCUAACGAGGGCAUCCGGACUCUGGGAUUACAACCGCCUUCUGCGUCCCAGGAAAAACCUCCUCUAGUCAUGCCCAGAUCUGCCUGGUCUAAAAACCACAAAAAUCGCAGGACUUUCCACUGAGUCAAUGCUUGUCACGUCUAGAGACCUGGAUCGAGCUGUUUCCUUCCAUUCACAGAGCCGUCCUGCAGGAGAGAUGUUACUUUUACCAUCAAUGUAAAAACUGAGCCUUAAACUGCUUCAGAAACUGUUUAGAUUCAUUCAACUGAAUAUUCACACUGGAGUUUGAAUCAAGGCCUACGUGGCUUUAGAAAUUUAAGAUCCAAACCGUACCACUGUUGUACCUGACAUCCUUCAUGCACCUCCCUCAUCUUCAGAGAAACAAUUCUAAUUCUUCACUUUAAAGCAAGGUAGUGUGACUUUCCAAUGACUUCAGGGCAUUCGGUAAAGAACAGCUUGGUUCAAAGUAAGUUGAUGAGCACAGCAAUUUCUUCAUAAUGGCAACCUGGUUAAAAAAAAAUAAAAUAAACCCAUACCUGGCUUUGGGAAGGAAGUUGUUUGUUUUAAUGUUUUGUAUUUGGACUUGCAUCACAUAGAGUGGUGAUUUUUUUCAACAUUUUGUGUGUCACUUAACAUUUUUAAAAAUAAAGUCUUACAAGCUGUGAAACAAUGUGAACAUCCUGAUCCUAUCUCUGUAAAAUAUGAUGGGUGCACAUUGAUAGACGAGGGUGUGGAAAGUUACAUCUGAAGGUGGCAACAGGAGUUGCCUCUGCAUGUGUGGAAUUAGAAGGAUUGUUGAUUUCAUUUAUUUAUCUGAAUAUACGAUAGAGAAAGUUCAAGUAGCACAGAUGGCUGCACAAUGAAGAGGAAUUUCACCUCUUACACUCAUUCUCAGUCCACUCGCCAAAGGCAAUUACAUGGAUAUGUAUUCUUCCUGAAAUAUUCUUUUCAUACACAAUCGUGUAUAAAAUCGUGUAUGAAAAAAAGUCUGCUCAUCAUGUAGUGUGUGUUUAUAUAUAAAUGUACUUAUUUAUAUA
rnacentral:lncRNA from 1 species